GAUGAACGCUGGCGGCGUGCCUAAUACAUGCAAGUCGAGCGAACAGACGAGGAGCUUGCUCCUCUGACGUUAGCGGCGGACGGGUGAGUAACACGUGGAUAACCUACCUAUAAGACUGGGAUAACUUCGGGAAACCGGAGCUAAUACCGGAUAAUAUAUUGAACCGCAUGGUUCAAUAGUGAAAGACGGUUUUGCUGUCACUUAUAGAUGGAUCCGCGUCGCAUUAGCUAGUUGGUAAGGUAACGGCUUACCAAGGCAACGAUGCGUAGCCGACCUGAGAGGAUGAUCGGCCACACUGGAACUGAGACACGGUCCAGACUCCUACGGGAGGCAGCAGUAGGGAAUCUUCCGCAAUGGGCGAAAGCCUGAUGGAGCAACGCCGCGUGAGUGAUGAAGGUCUUCGGAUCGUAAAACUCUGUUAUUAGGGAAGAACAAAUGUGUAAGUAACUAUGCACGUCUUGACGGUACCUAAUCAGAAAGCCACGGCUAACUACGUG
rnacentral:rRNA from 1 species